rnacentral:sRNA from 1 species
GCAACGGCCCGAAGGGCGAAGCGCGCAGCGCUGAGUAAUCUCUCCCCCACCACCA